rnacentral:snRNA from 19 species
AUCUUUGCGCAUGGGGUUAUAUCCAAAGCUGUGAAGUCUUAACUGAGCUUGGAAUAUUGCUGGUUGAAAACUAAAUUCCAUACCCCGUGACGGUCGCGCACGCGUCGUCACGAAUUUCUGCAGGCGCACCACACGCG